rnacentral:tRNA from 1 species
AGGCCAGUAGCUCAAUUUGGCAGAGCGGCGGUCUCCAAAACCGCAGGUUGGGGGUUCGAUUCCCUCCUGGCCUGCCA